rnacentral:rRNA from 1 species
UACUGGGGCUCUUGUCCAGUCACUGAAGCUAAGCUGGGUCCGGCUGAGUCAGCAUCUGGAUGGGAGACUUCUUGGGAAUACUAAGGUGUUGCAGGAA